rnacentral:tRNA from 1 species
CGAGCAGUAGCUCAGUGGUAGAGUUCUCGCUUCGCAUACGGGAAGACCUGGGUUUGGUUCCCGGCUGCUUAC